rnacentral:lncRNA from 1 species
AAAUUUUUUAAGCAUAAACACAUCAGAGAUUAUACGAAGAAGUGCUUUCGAUUUUAAUACAGUCCUCGUCACCUUCCAAAGAAUAAUAGAAUAAAUACAAAUAAAAUACAUUAAAACUCAGAUUGAACAGUAACUAUGGUAACUUCACAAAAGAAACAAGGAUAAAUUUACAAUUUCAGUAAAUAACCAGAAAAUAUUUUUAGGUACAUCUAAAUGUAAAUUCAUAUACGAAAAGAUAAUGUAUGCAUAGAGUUCAGAAAAUACGUGUUGAACGUUCAUUAAACUGUAUAAUGUUCCAGUUUGGCACAAGAUUUCAAUGCAUUACUGAUGUCUGCUGGAUUUAUCUUAUAUCGUUGUUUCACCGUCGAUCUCCUGUUAUUGUAAAUCGCUCUUGUUUCGGCAACCCUUCCUUAGGAUCUUCCUCCUUUCGUAAAAGUCUAGCCGCCUCCCAUUCUACUGUUAAAUCAGAUAGAACUGCUGUCUAUGCUAAGGCUGUUGAUGUCCUAGAUUUCUCAAUAUCUUAUGCUCUUUGAUCCUUUCAUUCAACGAUCUAGAUAUAUACCCUAUAUAAUUGAUGUUUUCAUUUAAAUCAUUAUCAAUAGCUGGUAUCUCAUAAACCCCUGAUAACGAGGAGCGUUGGUUCUUAAAAAUUGUAUUUCUUCUGUUGAAAACGAUUAACUAUUUCACAUUAAAAAAUUUAAUUUCACCAUUAAAGAAUUGAUGGUAGGAACAUUUUUAUACAGUUUUUAUAUAAUUUUCAAUGCAAUUAAUAUUUUUUAUCAUUGAUUUUGUAAAAUUUUAUGCUAACAUUUAUUAAUGAUUUGUAUAAUUCUAAAAUAUCACGAACAUAUUUCAUAAAAGUUAUCUGCGGUGAAAUAAAGAACAAACAAUUAUUUAAUGAUAAACAUACGAUACUUUAUGAAGCGUAUACGAUACUUUAGAUGAAUUAGAUAUGUAUUCAAAAAUUAAAAAAAUUGAUCAAAUAUUUAAAUACGCACACUAUAUUGAUACCAUGUUUUAUAGAGAAUUAUAAUGUGAAAUUUGUAUCUUCUAUUGUUUUACCUGAUUUCUUCAGAAAUCUAGAAUAAUAUUUAUUGUUAAUUUUCGUUCCCUUCUUCAAAUAGCCUUUUAAUUUAACUUUCGAAAUCCAAAAGGUAAGGCCAUAAUUUCAAUAUUGUGUCUUUUUUUUUUGAAUAACUUCAAAAAAUUAUUUUAUAUGGAAGGAAUUGCUAACAAUUCGUAUUCCAUA